rnacentral:lncRNA from 1 species
CACAUCUGUGCAGACCCAGUUCCCAAACAAGGUCACGUCUCAGGUACCCAAGGUUGUGUCUUUUGCAGUCCACACCAGGCAGUCACUGGAGGGUGUGCAAGAGCCUGAGAUGUCCCCAAGGCCAACUUCACCAUCUGAUCCUGAGUUCCACCCACUUGCUUAGAGUACGACAUUCUGGGCGACCAAGCUCCGAAGGAUCACAUAGAAAAGGGAACACCACCGAAGACUUCCGGGGAGACUUAGGGAAGCCGUCGUUUUCAGGAAGAAUUGGACUUCUCAUUUGGGUAAAGUUCAUAUAUAUUAAUAAAUUAGUGCUGCCUGUCAUUGUUAUUAGGUCCCUAGAAUUGGGUCCAAGACAGGAUACUUGCUGAUUUCCUGGAAUACAUGAGACAUCCUUCCCUAACGAAGAGGCUUUGAGAUCUGACCUGCCUCUCUGGGAAACCACUAGGCUUUUGAUCUGGUAUAAACUCAUCACAACUCCUCCUGAAACAUCUUUAACAUAGAUAGAGAUAGGCAGUGUGAACCUUCAGCGAGUGAGACAGCAGAGAAAUUUAGGCUGGCUAAGCAAAUGUAAACAGGAUCAAAGAGAAUCUCUUCAAAGAGGAAGAACUUUUUAAGCAGUUAUUAAAGACCCAUCUCCAAAUUGCUUGUACGUUAAUUAUAAAUCAAGUACUCUAGAAACACCCAUUGAUAAGUGAUUUUAUGCAAAUUAUAAAUCACCGCAGAGAGCUCAUUCACAAAAUGAGAUGUGCACUAAUUACAAAUCAAGCAACUUAAACAUACACAUAUAGGAUUGUAUAUGUGCUAAUUACAAAGGCAUUUUAGACGCUAUCGUUUACAAAUUAAAUAUGUGCUCAUGGCCCUCUAAAUACUUUACAAAAUUCCAUUUACCGAUGAUCCUCAUGCUAACUACACAACAAACAAUGUGAAACCUGCAUUUGCAAAACUCCAUGUGCUAAUUACACAACACUUUAAAGACACUAGUAUAGAAGUGAUUUAUGUGCUAAUGACAUACCCAACACCUUGGAAAACUCCCCAUACAAAUGAUUUAUGUGUAAUUACACACCAGACACUCUAGGAACACCCAUGUGCAAAUGAUUUAUGUACUCAUUACACCAAUACUUAAUUUCAAAAAUGUCUAAUAACAAAUCACUUGUAUGCUAAUCACAAAUCCAAAUACUUCUUUGCGAUUGAUGUAUGUUCUAAUUAUUAGCUGUUCUUAUCUGUUUCUUCUAAGGACCCACUGACAUCGACGGAUUGACAGCUUCCUUCUGAUUGGUGCUAUUAUCAACAUCAAUAAAACAUUCAAGUUCAUGAUGGAA